rnacentral:rRNA from 1 species
ACGGAAGGCAGCAGUGGGGAAUAUUGCACAAUGGGGGAAACCCUGAUGCAGCGACGCCGCGUGAGUGAAGAAGUAUUUCGGUAUGUAAAGCUCUAUCAGCAGGAAAGAAAAUGACGGUACCUGACUAAGAAGCCCCGGCUAACUACGUGCCAGCAGCCGCGGUAAUACGUAGGGGGCAAGCGUUAUCCGGAUUUACUGGGUGUAAAGGGAGCGUAGACGGCUUUGCAAGUCUGAAGUGAAAGCCCGGGGCUCAACCCCGGAACUGCUUUGGAAACUGUAGAGCUAGAGUGCAGGAGAGGUAAGUGGAAUUCCUAGUGUAGCGGUGAAAUGCGUAGAUAUUAGGAGGAACAUCAGUGGCGAAGGCGGCUUACUGGGCUUUAACUGACGCUGAGGCUCGAAAGCGUGGGGAGCAAACAGGAUUAGAUACCCUGGUA